GUGCCAGCCGCCGCGGUAAUACCGGCAGCCCGAGUGAUGGCCGAUCUUAUUGGGCCUAAAGCGUCCGUAGCUGGCUGCGCAAGUCCGUCGGGAAAUCCACGCGCUCAACGCGUGGGCGUCCGGUGGAAACUGCACGGCUUGGGGCCGAGAGACUCGACGGGUACGUCCGGGGUAGGAGUGAAAUCCCAUAAUCCCGCACGGACCACCGAUGGCGAAAGCACUUCGAGAAAACGGAUCCGACAGUGAGGGACGAAAGCCAGGGUCUCCAACCGGAUUAGAAACCCUGGUAGUCC
rnacentral:rRNA from 1 species